UCCAAGAUCGGUAAUAGCGCUGGUGGGCCU
rnacentral:piRNA from 1 species